rfam:Paludisphaera borealis strain PX4, complete genome.
GGUCAAGCUCCUAAGGGCGCGGGGGGAAUGCCUAGGCGUCAUCAGCAAUUCGAGCGUGGAAGGCUGCGAUAUGUCCGGGGGAGCUGCCCAACGAGCGUCGAUCCCGGAAUCCUCGAGGAAAACCCAGGGAACUGAAACAUCUCAGUACCUGGAGGAGAAGAAAUCAACCGAGACUCCCUCAGUAGCGGCGAGCGAACGGGGACCAGCCCAAACCGAGUGGGUCACCACUCGGGGUCGUGGGACCGGAGCCAUGGAACGAGUCGAAGCGAGCCGAAGCCGUUUGGAAAAUCGCACCAGAGCGGGUGACAGUCCCGUAGGCGAAGCGACGACUCUCCUAUCCGGCACCCAAGUAGGGUCGGGCACGGGAAACCCGGCCUGAAUUCGCGGGGACCAUCCCGCAAGGCUAAGUACUCGAUGACGACCGAUAGCGAACCCAGUAGGGCGACCGAACGGUGGGAAGAACCCCGAUCAGGGGAGGAGACUGAACCUGAAACCCCGCGCCUACAAGCGGUGGGAGGGCGUUGGCGCAAGCCAGCCUGACCGCGUGCCUUUUGCAUAAUGAUCCGGCGAGUUACCGUGUCCGGCCAGGUUAACCCCUUCAGGGGGGGAGCCGUAGGGAAACCGAGUCUGAACAGGGCGUCAGAGUCGGGCGUGGUAGACGCGAAACCAGGUGAACUACCCAUGGGCAGGUUGAAGCGGCCCUAACCGGCCGUGGAGGACCGAACCCACCAGUGUUGAAAAACUGGGGGAGGACCCGUGGGGAGGAGUGAAAGUCUAAUCAAACCUGGAGAUAGCUCGUUCUCUCCGAAAUGGCUUUAGGGCCAGCCUCGGGACGUAGCGUGCGGGGGUAGAGCGACGGAAUCCGACUGGGGGCCUUCCCGGCUACCCAUCGGAACCCAACUCCGAAUACCGCACGCCGGACCCCGGGAGUCAGAGUGUGGGGGAUAAGCUUCAUGCUCGAGAGGGAAACAACCCAGACCGCCGACCAAGGCCCCUAAAGCGACGCUCAGUGGUAAAGGAAGUGGGAUCGCGGUGACAGCCGGGAUGUUGGCUUAGAAGCAGCCACCAUUUCAAAAGUGCGUAACAGCUUACCGGUCGAGCCAUCCCGCGCCGAAAAUGACGGGGACUAAGCGUCGUGCCGCAGUCGCGGAUUCGCAAGAAUGGUAGGAGAGCGUCGACGUCAGCAGUGAAGCGGCACGGGUAACGAGCCGUGGAGCGGCGUCGAGUGCGCAUGCCGGAACGAGUAACGAUAAGACGGGUGGGAAGCCCGUCCGCCGAAAGCACAAGGUUUCCUGGGGAAGGUCAAUCCGCCCAGGGUCAGCCGGGACCUAAGACGAGGCCCAAGGGCGUAGUCGAUGGACAGACGGUUAAUAUUCCGUCGCCCGAGCGGGAAGGUUGAACGAGGGAGGACGCCGGGAACAGAGAGGUCGGGGCGCUAGAAACCCCCGUGCCGCAAGGCCGACAGCUUGAUCUGGAAGCCUCUGGAAGUCUCGGCCGCGAAAAGCCCCCUCGGGACGACCCGCCGGCCCGUACCGCAAUCCGACACAGGUGUGCUAGGUGAGCAUCCGAAGGCGUUCGGGAGAACCCUCGUGAAGGAACUCGGCAAAAUGACCCCGUACCUUCGGUACAAGGGGUGCUCCCUCGCAAGGGGGAGCCGCAGAGAAUCGGCUCUAGCGACUGUUUAUCAAAAACACAGGACUCUGCUAAUUCGCAAGAAGACGUAUAGAGUCUGACGCCUGCUCGGUGUCGGUAGGUUGAGGAAGCCAGUCAGCGCAAGCGAAGCCGGCGACCGAAGCCCCGAUAAACGGCGGCCGUAACUAUGACGGUCCUAAGGUAGCGAAGUUCCUUGUCGGGUAAGUUCCGACCUGCAUGAAUGGCGUAACGACUGGAGCACUGUCUCCACGAGGGACCCGGUGAAACUGUAGUCGUGGUGAAGAUGCCACGUACCCGCGGUUAGACGGAAAGACCCCGUGAACCUUUACUGCAGGUUGGCACUGGUCCAAUGCUCGUUCUGUGUAGGAUAGGUGGGAGGCUUCGACCCGGCGGCGCCAGCCGUCGGCGAGCCACUGGUGAAAUACCACCCUGAAUGAUCGUUGGCCCUCACCGACGCGUAGCCCGCGUCGGGACCGUGCUCAUCGGGCAGUUUGACUGGGGCGGUCUCCUCCCAAAGAGUAACGGAGGAGCGCCAUGGUACCCUCGGCCCGGUCGGCAAUCGGGCAACACGAGCGCAAACGUACAAGGGUGCCUGACUGCGAGACGUAUGCGUCGAGCAGAGACGAAAGUCGGCGUUAGUGAUCCGGCGGUGCUGGAUGGAAAGGCCGUCGCUCAACAGAUAAAAGGUACUCCGGGGAUAACAGGCUGAUCUCCCCCGAGCGUCCCUAGCGGCGGGGAGGUUUGGCACCUCGAUGUCGGCUCAUCGCAUCCUGGGGCUGGAGAAGGUCCCAAGGGUUUGGCUGUUCGCCAAUGAAAGCGGUACGCGAGCUGGGUUCAGACCGUCGUGAGACAGGUCGGUCCCUAUCUGCCGUGGGCGUAGGAAACUUGAGGAGAGUCUCCCCUAGUACGAGAGGAUUGGGGAGGACCGACCUCUGGUGUACCGGCUGUCCUGCUAAGGGCACCGCCGGGUAGCUAGGUCGGGACAGGAUAAGCGCUGAAGGCAUCUAAGCGCGAAGCCCCCUCCGAGAUGAGGUUUCCAGCAGGAUUUCCUGCGUAGGCUCCUGGAAGACGACCAGGUCGAUAGGCCGGACGUGCACGACGAGCGAUCGUCUCAGCCGACCGGUCCUAACAGCCAAGCGGCUUGACCAC